rnacentral:rRNA from 1 species
AUUGAACGCUGGCGGCAUGCCUUACACAUGCCAGUCGAACGGCAGCACGGGUGCUUGCACCUGGUGGCGAGUGGCGAACGGGUGAGUAAUACAUCGGAACAUGUCCUGUAGUGGGGGAUAGCCCGGCGAAAGCCGGAUUAAUACCGCAUACGAUCUACGGAUGAAAGCGGGGGACCUUCGGGCCUCGCGCUAUAGGGUUGGCCGAUAGCUGAUUAGCUAGUUGGUGGGGUAAAGGCCUACCAAGGCGACGAUCAGUAGCUGGUCUGAGAGGACGACCAGCCACACUGGGACUGAGACACGGCCCAGACUCCUACGGGAGGCAGCAGUGGGGAAUUUUGGACAAUGGGCGAAAGCCUGAUCCAGCAAUGCCGCGUGUGUGAAGAAGGCCUUCGGGUUGUAAAGCACUUUUGUCCGGAAAGAAAUCCUUGGCUCUAAUACAGGCGGGGGAUGACGGUACCGGAAGAAUAAGCACCGGCUAACUACGUG